UAUAUAGAUUAUUGAGAGAGCAUGGUUCGUACUUUAACCAUCUGAAGCAUUCAGACGGCAUUACACAUAAAAAAAAGGAUAGCAGGCGAAGAGGAGCGGAGGUGUUCUCCCGAAAAUCCACCGAGUGUGCAACGACUUCCUCACAGGUCCGGGGUUUCCUCAGAGGGCGGGAGUGACUGUCACAAUCAAAUCGUUCAUUCCACUUCUCCACCCAUUUUCCUCUCUGUCCUGUUUUUCUUCUUUUUUUUUCUCCCUCUCUCGAUUAAAACGCGAGCCGCUAACAAGUUCAAACUUCACGCGGAAGCAGACAUUUUAAUUGACAAAUUUCUAAGUUUCUUGUGUGUAACUUAAGAGACUUUCUUGCUCUUUACAUCCCGUUGUAGUGAUCUAUAUCGCCGUAAACAUUAAUACCGUGUAUAUAUUCAUCUCUUGCACCAGAAGGAAGGGGGAUUCUCGUACAAAAGCACGUCAUUUGUGAGCACACCCGUCCCCCCCUACUCUCGCUCUUUAUGUGCUGCUGGCUGGGACAGCAAGUGAAGCAACUCGGUCUAAACUUCGUCCUUCCCCUUUUUCUUUCUUCUUUUUCCUCCAACUUAAACUCAGCCGGAUCUUCAUCUUUUCUUUUUACUCUCUCCGUCGACUGCGUAAAUUUUCACUUCUCGCUUUUGUUUUCAUCGAUCCGAACACUUUGCUGCGCGAACUUUGUUCCAUCACAAUGUCCGCUUGAGAGAGCAGAGUUCGGGGGCUUUGCUGUGUGACUGGGAGAGCUUUGACGAAUUGUUGCUGCUGCAGGAAUUUAGCGUGGUUAAUAUUUUAUUUUAUUUUAUUUUAUUUUAUUUUACUGUUUUUUGUUUCUCUCUCGCACGUUGAAACAGGGGGGUGGGGGGGGUGGAUGAAGUGAGCAAUGUCUGAGGGACGUGGAUGAACUUCUAUUCACAAACUUGGAAAGUGUGACACGUGUACGUUUCCAGAGAGAGCGCGUGCGUAAAAUGAGAAAAUGUGUCUCGAGUCGCCGUAAUGACCGGGGUUUAAAGAAGGGCGAACAGCAGCAAGCAACCCUCCUUCAGCUGCCAGCUCGGGUUUGUAUCUGUGUCGGGAUGGACGGUUUUAGGGGAGGGGGGAAUCCCUUCUCACCCUGCACUCUCCCAACACAUGUGUGUGCCCUGUGAGUGUGUGUGAGGGAGAGAGUGUGUGUUUGUGUGUGUGUGUGUGCGUGAUUCCCACUGUAAACUUUCUGAAUCGGGGAUUUCAGGUGUAAGAUCGUGGUGGAGUUUUGGGAAGUAAAGUGACACCUCAACUCGACCCUCCACGGAAGGGUCUCCCUGUGUUUACACCGUGGCUCUGACCGGGGCCCCGUUCUCAUUUGCUCAGUUUGGGACAGGGCGGGGGGGAGGGUUAGGGGUGGGGGGAGUGUUUGCUUGAAGUAGUGACUUCAUGUUACAAACUCCAAAGUUUGGUGUCAGAGCACGUGUGUGUGUGUGUGUGUGUGUGUGUGUGUGUGUGUGUGUGUGUGUGUGUGUGUGUGUGUGUGUGUGUGUGGAUCGCUUCACCGUAGGGUCCAACCAGGAAAACUGGGGAAAAUACCGAGACACGUACAGGGGGUCUGGGGGGGUAAUAAUAAUAAAAACAAGUAUGAUAAAAACGCCACAGUUGUGGCAGUGCUGAAAAUGGCCAGGGUAAAUACCGACAGCAAUGAAUCGAAAUGGAAAAGUGGGCAGAAAAAGGAGGAAAGUCCAUUAAAAAUACGAUUUUUAAAAAAAUUCCACGAGUGGAAAGACCUCCACCCCCCUCACCCCCCAAACCCCUGCUCCCGGUCUUUGCGUUGAGCACGUCUCGGCGCGGCGAUUGCGCCCUCCGCAAAUGCUUUUUGGGGUAAGGGCUUCCCAGAUUAAUAGUAAUGAACAGCAAGCCCAGACCGCAAAAAGAUUCGUGAAGGACAUUAUCUUUGCUGCUGCUGCCGCCGCCGCUGCUCCUGCAGCUGAGGUCCCACGGAGACUCCGUGACACCCGGGUAGCCCCGCUCUCCUGUAUCUCCAAUCCCGGCUCAGUCGAUUGUAUCUCCAGCUUUCAGCGAGCCGCGGCUUAUAUUUCCUCCAACGUGUACUCAGAAGGAGGAAGAGGAGAGGAUGGAUGAUAGAAAAAGAUGGUGUGGGGAGGGUUGGAGGGUUUGGGGUGGAGGGGAAGAGAGGGGGGAGAUGCGUCUCCGACUACUGCUGCUGCUGCAACUGAGAGCUAUCCAAGGUCCUUACGCUCCUUCUCCAGUUUGAAUCCUUCUCUAUCCUCCCCUCACGUCUCUCCUCCCUCAAGCAUCCCCAUGCAAGCAGACUGCUUUUACAUAGAUUCUUUAUUAUUUUUUUUCUUUUUGUCCCCUAUAGCCAAACGCAAUGCCGUGCAAAACCCGUGUGAUCGCAAUGAGCUGUGCACCGAUGCGUUUUGUUGUUUGUGUGCGCGUGUGUGUGUCUGUGUGUGUGUACGCGCGUGCCUGUGUGUGUGUGUGUGUGUGUGUGUGUGUGUGUAAUGUUAUCUGCUGCCUGUAUAGUAAAAAAAAAAAAGCGCUGGCUGUCUGCAGCCGCUCUAAAGCUCUGGGUGAGGAGGGAGCAAGGCUGUAAACUGCUGGCAAUAAAUAGAGAGCAAGGAGCGAUCUGAUUGGAGCAAACUGAAUCUCGUCAUCGGCCAAUCGGUGCCUCGCUCAUAUAGGAACCCCCCUUUUUGAAAAAAAAUGGGGAAAAAAAAUUAGGCAAAAAAAAAAGACAACUAUAACCAAAUUGUAAUCUAUAUCAGCGAGUAUAUACUUAGAUUUGGAUACAAAACCAAUACUGGUUUGAAUGGGAGUUUAUAUAUAUAUAUAUAUAUUUAUAUUCAUAUAAAAAAAACAGAAUCGUGACGAGUGAAAACGAGUAAAUAUGAUAAUAGCAACAAUAAACAAGAUAUGUGACACAGCAAGGAUGAGCCAUUCCCACUUAAAACCAUGAUUAUUAUUUUUUAUUAAUAUUAUUAUUGUUUCAAAAACACACCCUUCAUGCGGCGAGAGGAGUGAUCAUGAACAGAGUAACCAAGCCAAACAUUAGUCAUAACAACUGGAUGUCGGUGGAUCGGGACUGUCCUCUCAAACACACACAGAGUCUCAGCACAGAGCAAGAGCAGGACUGGGGUCGCCUGGUCACUAGAGGGUAGAACCGCAAAAACCACAGGGGGGCUGAGGGGUGCCGGAAGGAGAGGGGGGGUGGGAGGCAGGGUCCAAACUGCAAACUAUGUCCGGAACCAUGUUAGCUGAAGGUGAGUAACAGAGGUAACAUGUCGCCAUUCCCAUUGCAGUCCAACGCAACAGUUUACUGAAGAAGAAAACAUUUUUAAAAAAAUGCACAGCACAAUGUAGAAAACAGCGCGUCCCAGAACAUCACAUUCAAGAAAUGAAAGAGGAGAGUUCACCGCGACCAUGAACCACUUUUUUUCUCUCUCUCACGCGCACGCACUCGCACUCACGCGCACGCACAGUUCGGAUCGUCUCUAAUAGGUUUUCUUCUCGAUGUUGUUUUAAAGUUAAGUUCUUUUUUCAUAUAAAGAAGUAGGAACUUACCUCUACAUUACUUUAUUUCCCCGCCCCUCCCCUCCUCCUUCCCCCACCAGCAACAGUUCCAUUAGUUUGAGUUUUGUUGUUGUUGUUUUGUUUUCUUUGUUGUUUUUGUCACAUGCAGCUGCAAAACGUUCAUCCUGGCUCUUCAGCUACUCACUAAACUGCCAUCAAGUACGGGGAAGUUGGGUGGAGGCCGGGUCACGAUCCGGACCGGACCCUCCUUCCCACCCUACCCUACCCCUCACAGCGAAACUCCCCCUAGCUCCUCUCUCUCUCUCUCUCCUCUCUCUCUCUCCCCUCUCUCUCUCUCUCUCUCUCUCUCUUUCUCUCUCUCUCCUGAUGCUGGCGGUCUGCAUUCAGACCGCCAGCAUGCCAACAAGCAGGACGACGUUCUCCAAAAAAA